GGCAGUGGUAGCACAGUGGUUAAGACGUUGGACUACUGUUCAGAGGGUCGUGAGUUCAAAUCCCACCACUGUUA